ensembl:misc_RNA Metazoa_SRP Metazoan signal recognition particle RNA
GCCGGGCGCGGUGGCGCGCGCCUGUAAUCCCAGCUACUCGGAAGGCUGAGCCCGGAGGAUCGCUUGAGUCCAGGAGUUCUGGGCUGCAGUGCGCUAUGCCGAUCGGGUGUCCGCACUAAGUUCGGCAUCAAUAUGGUGACCUUCCGGGAGCGGGAGAACACCAGGUUGCCUAAGGAGGGGUGAACCGGCCCAGGUCCGAAACGGAGCAGGUCAAAAAAAAAAAAGGAAAAACUCAAGGAUUCAGUUGUCUUAUGUCCUAAUGUGUUUGUUCUUUCUAGAAAUGUCCAGCA